AGCCACAUCGCGCUGAAACACCGGUUCUCAUACGUUCAUUAAAGUUAAGCAACAUUGAUCCUGGUCAGUAGCUAGAUGGGUGACCGCUUGGGAAUAUUUGG